UGGGGAAUAUUGGACAAUGGGGGCAACCCUGAUCCAGCAAUGCCGCGUGUGUGAAGAAGGCCUGCGGGUUGUAAAGCACUUUCAGUAGGGAAGAAAUGGCUUGGGUUAAUACCCCCGGCAAUUGACGUUACCUACAGAAGAAGCACCGGCUAACUCCGUGCCAGCAGCCGCGGUAAUACGGAGGGUGCGAGCGUUAAUCGGAAUUACUGGGCGUAAAGCGCGCGUAGGCGGUUUUGUAAGUCGGAUGUGAAAGCCCCGGGCUUAACCUGGGAAUUGCAUUCGAUACUGCAUCACUAGAGUAUGGGAGAGGGAAGUGGAAUUUCCGGUGUAGCGGUGAAAUGCGUAGAUAUCGGAAGGAACACCAGUGGCGAAGGCGACUUCCUGGACCAAUACUGACGCUCAGGUGCGAAAGCGUGGGGAGCAAACAGGAUUAGAUACCCCCGUAGUCC
rnacentral:rRNA from 1 species